GCACAAUGGGCGAAAGCCUGAUGCAGCCAUGCCGCGUGUGUGAAGAAGGCCUUCGGGUUGUAAAGCACUUUCAGCGAGGAGGAAAGGUUAGUCGUUAAUAUCGGCUAGCUGUGACGUUACUCGCAGAAGAAGCACCGGCUAAUUUAGUGCCAGCAGCCGCGGUAAUACUAAAGGUGCAAGCGUUAAUCGGAAUUACUGGGCGUAAAGCGCGCGUAGGUGGUUUGUUAAGUUGGAUGUGAAAGCCCAGGGCUCAACCUUGGAACUGCAUUCAAAACUGACUCACUAGAGUACGAGAGAGGUUAGUGGAAUUUCCUGUGUAGCGGUGAAAUGCGUAGAGAUGGGAAGGAACACCAGUGGCGAAGGCGACUGACUGGCUCGAUACUGACACUGAGGUGCGAAAGCGUGGGGAGCAAACGGGAUUAGAUACCCCGGUAGUCCACGCCGUAAACGAUGUCUACUAGCCGUUGGGAGACUUGAUCUCUUAGUGGCGAAGCUAACGCGAUAAGUAGACCGCCGGGGGAGUACGGUCGCMAGAUUAAAACUCAAAGGAAUUGACGGGG
rnacentral:rRNA from 1 species